GUGAAUCAUCGAAUCUUUGAACGCACAUUGCGCUCCCUGGUAUUCCGGAGAGCAUGCCUGUUUGAGUAUCAGUAAAUCCUCUCAUACAACUCCUUUGUUGGACGCGUAUGGAUAUGAGCCUUCCCAGGCGAAGGAAACUUCUGAAACUGGGUGACUUUAAAUUUAUGGUUUGGCAGGAACUCUAAGAAUCCAAUUGCCGAAAAGUGUGACAAGAACUGAAAGGCUCUGGCCUGCUAAGUUUUAAAAUCCGCUGAACUCGACAUUUGGAAAGUACUCUUAGAGCUAAAUCCAUCGCCUUCU
rnacentral:misc_RNA from 1 species